UAGGAGUGAAUAAUUUAAAGGGGCCGCGCCUGCGGAGCCGGGCGGAACGCUAGCGGUGUUGGCGCGGAGUGGACCCCGGCUGCGGCCCCUGGGUGUUUCCACACCGGUAGCCAGCUGUGCCCUGAGGUGGAAGAGGACCGGCCACCCAGGAAUUUUCCAAGUAACGACUCGCAGUCUCCGGGAUUCCUAUCUCCCGGCCCCCGAAUCUCCAUUAAUAUUCUAGCGAUGUCAGAAACAUCCUCAGCUUCCCAGAAAAAUACCAGUAAUAUUCCAGCAUCUCUCAGUAUCUUCCAAGGA
rnacentral:lncRNA from 1 species